CCUGCCUGUGAAAUUACCUGCCAUUAGUGUAGUGGAAAGUGCCCCAGCUCUGCCUCUUGCCAGCUUGGGACUGGAGGCAAUUUUCUUACAUUUCUCAACCUCUUCUGUAAAGUGAAGAGUCACGUCGAUCUUCCAGGAUUAAAGAGAGAGGGACACAUGCGCCUAGAUAAGAGAGCCCUGCCAGAUCAUCUAAUAAGGCCUGUGCGUUUUACAGAUGAAAAAACUGAGGCCUGCAACAGCCUUGUGCUCUGGAGGUCUCACCUGUGACUGAACCCUUCCUAAAGGUAAAAGCUGCCCCAAGCUGCUACUGCCUUGGUUGAACUGCUGGAAGCCAGGGAAACCCUCGGCGGGACAUAAGCUGCCAAAGAAUUCUCUUGACUUUCUGAGAAUAUUAUAAGAUGCAUACUUAAAG